GACGAACGCUGGCGGCGUGCUUAACACAUGCAAGUCGAACGGAAAGGCCCUGCUUUUGUGGGGUGCUCGAGUGGCGAACGGGUGAGUAACACGUGAGUAACCUGCCCUUGACUUUGGGAUAACUUCAGGAAACUGGGGCUAAUACCGGAUAGGAGCUCCUGCUGCAUGGUGGGGGUUGGAAAGUUUCGGCGGUUGGGGAUGGACUCGCGGCUUAUCAGCUUGUUGGUGGGGUAGUGGCUUACCAAGGCUUUGACGGGUAGCCGGCCUGAGAGGGUGACCGGCCACAUUGGGACUGAGAUACUGCCCAGGCUCCUACGGGAGGCAGCAGUGGGGAAUAUUGCACGAUGGGCGGAAGCCUGAUGCAGCAACGCCGCGUGCGGGAUGUCGGCCUUCGGGUUGUAGACCGCUUUCGCCUGUGACGAAGCGUGUGUGACGGUAAUGGGUAAAGAAGCACCGGCUAACUACGUG
rnacentral:rRNA from 1 species